rnacentral:lncRNA from 1 species
CUUGAACAACCUAUUUAUAACGUGUCUGGUUGAGUCAGCAGAGCUUGGUGUUAGGAAAAGGCUGUAUUCCCUCUUUAACCACGUGAGGGAGACUGCAGAAAAUUAGAUAAUUGCUUGGUUGUGUGUAUAAUACUGCACUGUGCAUGUCCUAGUUGUGUUUGGAUUUACUAACACUUGUUAUUCAAAAUGCAAAAACAUAGAAGCAAUAUUGCACUGUUGCCCUUGAUGUUUAAAACAUGCUUUUUUUUCUCCUUCAUGAUCAAGUGUACAAGAGGGCUCACCAGAUCUGUGGGAUUUGCAAGAUCUUCCAAACGCAUCUGGGAGGUUUUCAAUAAGAAAUUCCUACUUGCUUUUCCCUCAGCUUAAUUGGUGUGACUGUGUAGAGGGGACCUGGAAGAAGGAUUAAUGAAACUGGACGAAAUACUGCAGGUUAUUAUGACAAGGACUGAAUGGACAUGAAGUGGCACCCCUUCACGAUUCACAGCCUGGUGUGUUCUGAGCAGAAAUAUCUCCACAUCUUUCUGAAAAAAGCCAGUGAUGCUGCUUGCCUGCCUCCUUCAAAGCGCUUCUUACUGCAGAGGAUCUCUUCAGCUCAGCACCCAUUUGUUUGCACCUUCCAGCCCCUGGGGAGCUGCACCAAAUGCAGCAGGUCCUCACCUUCAGAGCGCACAUUCUCUCUAAUCUUGACAGAAAAUGGGUUUCCCUUUCUUACAGGAGAGGUGAAGCAACUGUAAGGAGGAGAUAAUACUGAGCAGUGUAAACCUCUGGAGCAUCUCUGAAGGACAAAGCUUUCACAAAAAUCACAUCACAAGCUGCUGUUGUUAAUUUGCCAUUUCUACUUUAAUAGCUGCACUUUAACAAGGGGUAUUUGCUUUGUAAGAGUUGCUAACACUAGGCCAGUAAAAACUACAUAACCUCUGCACUUUGCUAAUUAUUUGAAAUGCCCUUGGAAGGUUGCUUGUGGUUUUUCUCUCAUUUUUUUUUUCCAUUUUAUUUUACACUUUUUUUUAAAAGGAAAAUAGACAAAC